rnacentral:tRNA from 1 species
GCGUCGAUAGUACAAUGGCUAGACUUUAGGGUUAAUAUGAAGGCCUUCCAAGCCUUUGAUCCGGGAGAUACUUGGUGAAAGCCAACAUCCGGAUAUUCGAAUCCCGGUCGACGCA